AAAAAGAAAAAAAAGAAAGAAAAAUGGGAAGAUGGAAAGCCCUGGUUGCUUUAGAAAAGUUGUUGUACAAAGGUUCAAGCUUCCGUUUGAGAAAUUCUACGAAGUAUAACAGAAAAGAAAAAAGGAUAGGUGUUCAAACACGGUUAGUUUUUGCAUCCCAAGUAGCUGGAACAAAUUUCAAUCAUGCAGUAUUAGCAAGCACUAUGGCUGUGUGGCAUUUAUGCUUUUGAGUUGG
rnacentral:misc_RNA from 1 species